rnacentral:rRNA from 1 species
UACAGAGGUCCCAAGCGUUGCUCGGAAUCACUGGGCGUAAAGCGCACGUAGGCGGCUUUCUAAGUCAGGGGUGAAAUCCUGGAGCUCAACUCCAGAACUGCCUUUGAUACUGGAGAGCUAGAGUCCGGAAGAGGUGAGUGGAACUGCGAGUGUAGAGGUGAAAUUCGUAGAUAUUCGCAAGAACACCAGUGGCGAAGGCGGCUCACUGGUCCGGUACUGACGCUGAGGUGCGAAAGCGUGGGGAGCAAACAGG